CUACAGUGACGUCAUCAUUCCCUUUCACAGACAGAGAAUCUCAUCUUAGAAGCAUCAAGCAGUCACCCGAGAUUGCAUAGAGAGGCGCUCUUUAGUAUGGUCUGGAUUCAAACCCAGAGCCCUCUGCUUCUUUUCCAUGUGCCAUUUUUUUUUUUUUAUUGCACUCACUAUCACAAUAACAGCCAAAUCCACAAUCCACUCGGCUCCCGGGGUCAGGCCGCUUCCUGUACAUGCAGGUCUCUGCGCCCUUUACCAGGCCCGGGGAUGAGGUCAUUCUAGCCAAGUCAGUUUUCUAUGUCUGUGGCUCACAAGCUGACAAAACAUCUGUGGGGACCAGAGCCGGAAUCAGGCUCUAUGGCCGUGUUGGCUCAAACUGCUUGGACACAACACAGUCUAAAAAGCCUCCUGCUUGGGGGCAAAGUUUUGAAGGAAGCCAUUGGCGGGGGGACCCACGCCCACAGUAGGAUGCCAGGGAUAAAUAAAUGUAUACAGAUGUGGCCAGGCAGGGUGGGAGCAGGGAGAUAAAGCAGAGUUGGCUCGGUGGGGACAGAUGAGCUAACUUCCUCCAUCAGCUCCUCCUGGUUCCCUUCUCCUUAGAAACUUCAAAGACAACAGAGCGCCAGAGUGACCUCAAAGGCUCCCAGACCUCUGUGUAUGAAGGAUGGAGUAGGCAGCAGGAAGGACUUCCACCAAGUUGUCCCUUUCAGGUUCACCGAGGCGUUACGGAAGAGGUGAAGCAGGAUAUAUGUAUUAUUCAGGGUGGACGCAGACGAAGAUGUCUUAGAGGACUCACACCUAGCCAGGCAGUGGUGGUGCGGGUCUUUAAUCCCAGUGCUCAGGCGGCAGAGGCAAGAGGAUCUCUGAGAUCUGAUCUACAGGAGUAUACAAAGAGACCUGGUCUCAUAAAACAUACAGACACACAGACACACAGACACACAGACACACACACACACACACACACACACACACACACACACACCCCUUAGACAUGGUUGCCUCCAGUAAACCAGCUACAGGACCUUGUUCCACUCCUGCAGUCAGAGCUCCUAAGGUGUAGUCUCCAGCAAGUUUCAAACACGCCAUACGCUGUGUUGAGUUACAACUGCCGUGCAGUACACCAGGUCUUCAGAAUGUAUUUAUCUUACAGCCACAGGUUUGUAACCUUUGGCCAAUCUUUCGUCCCCAACACCCUGAGCCCUGAAACCUACUCUUCUACUUCGUGUCCACAAGUUUGAUAUUCCUCUGUGCCACACAUGAGAGAAUAUGCAGGACUUACUUCCCAGUAAGUGGCAUACUUUUACCUAGCAGUGACCUCUGGGUUUGUCCCUAUUGUCAUAAAUGGCAGGAUGUCCUUACUGAUGCUGAAUAAUACUCCGUGCCCUAAACCUACCACACUGCCUUUAUCCGUCAACACUUGGGUGUUUCUACAGGGUCGUGCAGAUGCCUCUUGGAAGCAGUGGUUUUCAUCUCGUAUGUCUGCAUACCCAGAAGUGUGAUUGCUGGAUUCUGUGGCAAGCCUAGUUUAAGCUUCUGAAGGAAAUACCACUCUGCCUUCCAUCAUGGCUCUGCUGGGUCCAUCCCCAUCAACACUACUGAAAGGCUUCCAGAGCUCUGAAUCUUAACCAACACCUGCUUUUUGCUAACAGCAUCCCAACAGGUGUGAGGUGGAAAUCCACCACAAUUUUAAUUUGCAUUUUCCUGAUGAUCAGUGUGACUAAAAAAAAAAAUCUCUUCAGAUAUCUGUUAGUUAUUUCUUUAUUUUAUUUGGGAAAUGUCUUUUCCGGUUCUUUGCCCUUUUAUCUGUCUGUCUGUCUGUCUGUCUGUCUGUCUACUGACUCUAUCUAUCUAUCUAUCUAUCUAUCUAUCUAUCUAUCUAUCAUCUAUCCGAUUGAAUCCAUUUUGUUUCUGUAUGUGGUAGGCACAGCUAGAGCAUGAAGCCUCUGAAAUGGAGACUCUGGUUUGGUUUUGACAACAUGGGCAGUGAACCCCUGAUAGAAAGAUUUGGCGAGCACAGUCUUCUUCUAGGGGCCAUGUAGCUCUAAGAUUUUUCCCUUUUUAAUUUUCAUUUUAAAAGAUUUAUUUGUAUUUCUGUGCAUGAGUAUUUGGUUUGCAUGUAUGUUUGUGCACUACAUGCAUGCAGUGCCUGUGAAGGCCAGAAGAGGGCAGUGGAUCCCCUGGAACCGGAAUUAUAAACUGUUGUCAGCCUCUGUGUGGAUGCUAGGAAUCAAACCUAGGUCCCCUGGAAGAACGGCUGGUGUUCUCAACUGCCGAGCCAUGUCUCCAGCCCGUGGAUUUUCCCGUUUUAAAAUUAUUUUCUCUUGUUUUAGUCCUUGUUGGUGGGCUUUAUAGAUUUCUUGCAUCAUUUUAUGAUAAUUCCUUAUUGCAUAUACAGUGGGCAAAUAUUUUCUCCCAUCCUGAGUUGCCCUUCAUCUGGUUGGUUGUUUCUUUUCUGCGUAGAGCAUUUGGUUUGAUGUGGUAUGGUUUGUAGCUUUUGGUAUCACAACCAAAAACUCCUGGAGGAGGCGCCUCUCGUCAGGACAGAAGAAAGCCCUGCACAGUCUCACCUCCACAAUCUCUCUAGCAUCCCUCAGAGCACAAGACAGACAUUCAAGUAUGCAGGCGUUUGAGCAGACACCAAGUGCUCUCGGGGAGCUCCACUCAAUACUUUCCAGAUAGAAGACCCUCUGCAGGCCCACAGGGAGGUUGGUUGCUGGGGCAGCAGAGCCCUGUGCAGUUUCUCGGUCAUGGCCGCCUUCCCAGAAAUCCGGCACAUGCUACAUUAGCAUUGAGCCACCUCCUGAACCUGCCCUUGUGAGACCACAGCCUGUCAGCAGCACUGGCCAAGCCUGGGCACAAAACCAAAAUGUGCACAUGGCAUCUGCAUCUGCUGGGCUGUGCUGGCAAGGUCUCCCGGCCAAUCAGUGGGGUCUGGCUAGGGAUCCAGGGAACGCUGGAGAGCGGCUGUGCCCCAGCAGGGCUUGCUGGCUUUACCCAGGCUCUCCUCCUUUGCUCAAGCAUCUUAGCCAGGAUCCGGUCUUUCAACGCUUCGUUGAAGAAAGAACCUGACAUUUGUCCUCAGGUGACUUGAGACCCAGUCUCACUUCCUACCACUGCAGGGGUGUUGUGUACAACUUUAAAGCCUAGAAGUGUCAGGUCUGUAUAUGCUGGAAGCCAACUCUAAACAACAGUGAGGAAAUGUUUCUUAGAAGCUGUAUGUAGCUCGGGCGUCGGCCCUCCGCCAGACUACGCUGUUCCAUCUGAGUCUCCAGCUCAAGGAAAACCGCCUGUCCUUGCUGCAUAACUAAGAGCCUGUCCAGCCUCCGGGUCUCACCUGCUCCUCAUCAGGAGCCGUCAGUGAUUCCCUACAGGCAUACAUGGAAACCAUCACAUCUGGCAUCCUUGAGACAGGCUUCCCAGCACCUUGAUUCUACCCCAAACCUCUCCCAGUUUCCUUGGAAUAAUUGAUAAACAAUGUCUCUUUGCUUGCAGCCCAUUUCAGAAAGAAUACAAUUGUUUCCAAUUGAUGUAUUUUUAAUCAGCUGUCAAUCAGAAAAUGCCACAGUUAUUCAUUCGCUUUCUGUCAGUGGAGACUCGGAGCAGAAGGGAACUGCAUCUUGGAAAGUAUGCUUUGCACGGCAUCUUCUCUGGCUGCUCAGCGUUACUGUCAAACAUCUGUGUCAGAGACAACUACGCCAGGCAGCAGUAGAACUGGGCAGGAAGAAACUGCAGCAUCUGAGGGCUCAGAAGUGCAUAACUGAAUCUCCAAGCUAAAGCACAAUUCCCAAACUGCAAUGAGCCAGAAGGGACUGGGAGUUGGAAAGGAUGAAGAAUACAAAGACCAGCAUGAGAAAGACUUGAAGAGACUUCCUGGGGGAGUGGCAGUGGGCAGAAGGAAGGGAGCACCUAAGUUGAUCCUAAUCAGUGUAGGAUGACCUGUUGGACCGAUAGGCAGGGGUGGACAUGACAAAGGAGAGUGUUGGGCACCUCCUUUGCCAGACUUCUUCAAGCUCCUCCCAUCCCUCAGCUGGCCGGGAAGCAUUAAUCACGCAGCAUUGAUAGCAGGAGUAGAGGCUAUCUAUGUAUGCAACCGCCUCCUGAAUCUUUUAUCUCUCUGAGCUCCUCCACACCACUCUGUGCCUAAUCCCUUUGCCUCGAUUCCAGAUGCUACAUUUCCCAGAUAGCUUCCACCUCUGACCUAGCCCAAGGGAAGAGGGUUGUGGUCCAGCAUCAUGGCUUGGGGUAGGAUGGUGGUAGCCUCGGAAGGGCUGCCGACGUAUUCAUAAUCACUUUCCAAGAAAAAACAACCUAUCCUCGAAUGGCUCUGAUACUCUGUGGUUUCUUGGAAAUUAGAUUACAGCGGCUUCUCCAAGCUUCAGCCCAUCGCAUCCUACAGUUGUGAUGUUCAUUAACGUGUCAGUUCCACUGUCACCGAGGCAGCCAAGCCCUUGGGCUGUUAACGCUGGGUAUAAUUGCACACUAUAAAAUGGGCCCACUGUGGAGUACAGGUCCAAAGACUUGGAUAAAUAUGUGUAGUCUUGUCAUAACUACCACAAUCAAGAUAGAAAAGAAAAUGUCACCUAAGAGAUUCCCCCAUCUUCCUUUGACCUCUGGCCCACCCCAUCCUGGCAGCCACUCACGUCUUCAUCACUGUCUUUUCGUAUACACGGAAUCUGCCAUAAGUGCUCCUUUCACCUCUCAAUGCUUUUAAGAUCCAUAUCAAGUUCUUAAAGAAGAUGGAAAGCAACAGAAUGUGAAGGAAAUGGUCAUUGAGUCUUCAGGCCACCAAAGGGACCUGGAGGAGGAAAAUGAGAACACACCAGUGUUUUCUGCAGCCUUUGCUGCUGCUACACUGUAAGAGCUGCCGCUACAGUGUAAGAGCUGUGUCUACACUGUAAAACAGGUUGGUAACUUAGCUACAAAAAGACACUGACUGAGCAGAGCAGCAUAGAGUAAUUAAAACAGCAUGGACGUCCUUCUGCUGAUGACCUUGGAUGAUCUGUUUUUCUGGGUUUAUGUUCCUCCCCUCUGUUAGAUGAGGGCCACACUCAGCUCCACACACAGUCUGGGUACCAUGGCUUCCUCCCCUCUGUUAGAUGAGGGCCACACUCAGCUCCACGCACAGUCUGGGUCUCACACACCGUCUGGGUACCAUGGUUCUACCCAUUGACUUUUAUUGGCUGUCAGGAAAGACACACUCCUUUAUCAUUCUGUGUUCCCUAGAGAUUCAUAGUUGGAUGUACGGGUGGGGCUGGUGACAGUCACUUCUGUUUCCACCUGGGAUGGUGUCACCUGAGGGUAUAACCAGCCCUGUCUCAGGAGUCUAGACAAAGACAGCAGCAUCGUGCCCUCUGAGCAUGUUGAUCCUACGCUGCUGCCAUCUGUCCCUGAACCAUUACAUGACCAAUAAAGUCCCUUAACUUGCUUCAUAAAAAAACAAUACAUGAGCAACCAAGUCAGAGGUAUGGUAUGAGGUGCUGGAAGAGUCAUGAAAUAACAACUGUAUUGGAGCCAUGUAAGUGACAGACGGGCAGGACGGUCAACAUUCACCUCUUUAAGUCUCUAGAAACAUGAUUUGCAGCCCCGUUCAAGACUCAUCUAGAACUUGUGGGCUCCCCCCUCCUCCCAAACAGUUGGGAAAACAGGUGUGCACCCCCACCCCCAACCUCCCUACCUGCAUUCUUCUCCCAUGUCAGAGAUGAGGCCCAGGGCUUUGCAAAUGACAAGCCGGCAAGAGAUGUUAUAUACUUAAUACAUAUAACUCUUAAGCUAAGGGCACGCACACAUGACAUAUAGUCCCCGUGUACUAACCAAACGUCUAAGAUUCAUUGCCAACAGUUUAGGCUUUCUUAAAACCUCACCCCAACUUCCCAACAUUCACAUAAUGUUAACAAGAAGUAUAAAUCAGAACCAUUACUUAUAAAAGGAUUAAAAGAUCAUCUCCCUUAUCCAGGCAAUCACACAUAAGGGGGGGGGAGUCCUUGAAGGCAUGCCUCUAAGGAAAAUGAGGAGGAAGGGGGGCAUUUAGGGAAGGCCAAGGCACACAUAAAGGAGCCUCAAAGCUUACACGUGGAACAGCAAAUAAGCAAUUUUGGCCAAGGUCUGCUUUAUCUGUGAGUUUGGAGACACUGAAUUAGAAAGGCUGAGCCAACUCCAUAUGGGACAACCUUGGAGAUUUGAGUAAGAAAAUCCCACCAUUAAAUCUGUAUUAAUUAAUGUUUUUUAACUCACACAAUUAGUACUAUAAACCUUGUGAACAGUUGUUGAAUGAAGCUGGAGGUAGGGGAGAUGGGUGGUCCUAAGGCCAGGUAAGAGGAACUUCUUAAAAUACUAAGAAAAGGGUUCUUAAAAAAGACCGUGAACAGGCAACACUGAGGCUUCUGGGAACCAACCAAUAGUCAUCAAGGGACAGAGCAAAGGGCCAAGGGAUGCUGCAGAGUCCAAGUAGUAGAGGCUGGGCAAACAAGUGCAACUGGAGACAGGAGGGGAAACUCGAGUGAGCAGUGGGCUAAAAGCUCGUCCUUUGCUUUGUUGAAUCUGAGGUGUUGGAUGAUGUCCACAAAGCAUUUGGAAACAUGCACAGAAUCCCAGAUGGCGAGACUGUUGGUGCCCAGAACAAAGGUAGGCUGCUCUGACAGUCAGAAAGGUAGUCAGAAAAGAAGCAAGGAGAGUUCUCGAGCAGGCUGGGGGAGGCCCCAGUGGUGGCAGGUCCCAGGAGACAUCUCCAUAGCAGAGGGAAGGGGACAGCUGUCCAGGAAAGUCACAGCAGAGCCUAGAGUCCUCUGCAAGGCCACUAGCAGGAGAAUCCCAGACUCCUGGAUAAAUCUACCCCACUCUAGGUCUCCUGUCAUGUGGAUGAGAUCGUUGCUUACCGCCCUGUCUCCCCCAGGCUGCCCACGUGGGACUUGGACAGGUGAUGUAUGUGUGAGCGCUGACGAGAAAGAAGCACAGAGCGUUCUGGGCCUGGCAGCAGUCACAGGCCAGGUGGGGAGGGCAGGCUGGUUCCACGAGGAGUGUUCCGAGCUCCUGAUUUAUCCAAGAGAUGGAAGAAAAGCUCCAGCAAGCAGGCAGCCUGUACACCAGCCAAGACGUGGGCCACGGGUAAUUCAUUCUCACUCACUGGCUGGCUCACCCACCUCCCCGGCAGGAUUUCAUGUGGAAGACAGCUGUGUAGGAGGAACGUUUGGUCUUAAGUUGGCAGCACUGGCAGAACCAUGCUUCCUCAGGGAACGGUCCAGGCCCCCACAGAGUACUGGUAGAGACUCUCACGACCAGGUCUCUGAGAGCAGACAGAAGCAUUAAAUGAAGGACGACUUCCUUCACCGAGAAGGUGGCAGUUGGCUUUCUGAAUACCCACACUCCUCUUUGUUGAGCUCCUGUCCCACCCUAGUUGCUUCCGUUUUCCAAGAUCUAGCUGUGGGUCUUGCCUCGCCAGCGUGGCACACUUCUGUCACCCACUCUUCCUCUCUAGCUCCACAGGAUCUCGGCCGCACCAGAGGCUGCAGGUUCUGGUCUCUCCACUGCCUAAUGCUCCCCCUGGCCCAUCUUUCCCUCCUCUUGGUGGAGGACAAAGUCCAGGACAGUGAGAAGAAAGGGGUUUGGCCUUCUGCGUUCUCCAGGAGCUUGGCAGUGUGGUAGGAAUGAGGGUGCCGCCUAGCCUGCCCCCUUAAGCAACCACAGGACCUGACAGAAAAUGGGAGGAGCUUAAGCAAUCACACAACACGAUAGAAAAUGGGAGGAACUUAGAAUCCUUGCAGUGCAGACCAACAAAGUGAGAGUAAUGGGCAGGCCUCAGAGCAGGAGGAUUCAGGAAAACCUCCAGGAGGAGACAUCUCUGUGUUUGCCUUGUCCCACACUGGUUUCUUCUAGUUUCCCCUAACACAGGGGGAAAGCGCUUUUGGUAGUGUGAUCCAGUCACAGAAAAAAAACGGGUCCUGACAAACACAGAUCUGCUUCCCUUUUGUCACACCGCAGAGCUCUCUGACCUUAGAAAAGUGAACUGGUCUCUACCAGCCUCAGUUUCCCAUUCAUAACAUGAAAAUAGAAACACGUAUGUAAAUUCUCCCUCUCCCCUUCCGUCUCCCUGUCUCUGCUUACUGUGACCUGAGCGCCAGCCACCACUGCAGACUCAGAGUCCCCUCAGAGCGUGAAGGUGGGGCGCACAGGGAUGAAAUGGUUCAUCCACGGUGGUCAGAGCUAACACACGGGGAGCCAAGAAUCCCUCUUGUGUCACCAAGAAUCAACCCCUGUCACCUCACGCACCUUCAGCCCCUCCCAAUGCUCUUGACCAAACUAAACAGCUCCGAAGUACUUGUUCCCAUGGGAGUGGCACUCCCUGAGGACUCACAGAGCCAGAGGAGGGUCCACAGCAAGAAGAAAAAUACUCAACUCGAAGUUACAGAACUCUCUACAGGGAGGUAGAGAAACACCAACUCUGCCACAGAGACAGUGGCCCACAGUGUCUUAACUGCUUCAUCCCCAGGUUCCAGGGACUGUCCAUGCCAUGGGUGUAGAGAGCUGUACAAGGGGUGUACUGGCUAGUUUUGUGUCAACUUGACACAGCUGGAGUUAUCACAGAGAAAGGAGCUUCAGUUGAGGAAAUGCCUCCAUGAGAUCCAACUGUAAGGCAUUUUCUCAAUUAGUGAUCAAGGGGGAAAGGCCCCUUGUGGGUGGGACCAUCCCUGGGCUGGUAGUCUUGGGUUCUAUAAGAGAGCAGGCUGAGCAAGCCAGGUGAGGCAAGCCAGUAAAGAACAUCCCUCCAUGGCCUCUGCAUCAGCUCCUGCUCCCUGACCUGCUUGAGUUCCAGUCCUGACUUUCUUUGGUGAUGAACAGCAGCAUGGAAGUGUAAGCCGAAUAAACCCUUUCCUCCCCAACUUGCCUCUUGGUCAUGAUGUUUGUGCAGGAAUAGAAACCCUGACUAAGACAAGGGGUUUCUUGGGUACUGUUCCAGGAUUGGCCCCUGUGGCAGGAGGGAAGGAAGCAAGGGCAGUCAGAGAGAGACAUCAGUAAUUGGUCUCAGCCAAGCCAAAAAGAAGCCCUGUGGCAAAGCUGGCUUUACAGAAUUGCCUCAGAUGGUGUGAAUGGGAUCAAUGUUUACCACCCCCCCAUCCCCACCUCUGCAGUCAUCUUCCUGUGUUGGCUGCUCCAGGGUGGGACAAAGCCCGGGGCUCUUUUCCUGUAGUCUAGCCCUCCUGGGAAGGAGGAGCCAGUGCUAUGCUAUCAGCAGGACCUACCUGCAGCCACUGGAGGAUGAGUGCUUCAGGCCCACAGGAGGAGGUGGGCUGUUUAUUGAGACUCUUAAUACACUGGUUUCAGGGUGAUCUUGACACGUGCUGGUGUGGGUAUAAGGGCUUGCUGCUUCACCAAGGCAGCAGGGCACCCAGCCCUGAGCACCUGUCUCCCCUUAGGCUCAUCUGGAGCGCAAUCUGUACCACAAAGCCAUCUCUUCUCUUUUGUCACUCCCUGCCUGCCAUCACUCAAGCCACUUGAUGUGGAGGAACACCCUGCCUUUCUAGACUGCAGAUUCUACGAAAAUGAAGCUUUAACUAGAGAUGUGAAAUUUCAGAGCCAAAUGCUUUCCAUUGGCUGCACACUUCCUAGACAUCCAAGUUGAACAGCCUGAAGGAUACACUUUCUAACCACUCCAUAGCCACUCAGCCUCAGCCGUCUGUCCCACACUGAGCCGCCUAAGCAGGAUACACAGAAACCGUGGAGGAAGUAUGCCCAAGAAACAGAGGCCCCAUGAAACCUCUGCAUCCCAAAUGCCACAUGGCGGACUCUCUGGGGAAAUCACUCUUCCAAGAAGGAAGAGUCAGCAGCUCCUGGUGGCCUUGUGACUCAGAGCAGCAAAAAGAGACCCAAGAUGUCCAGGCAGAGGCCAUUCCUCCCAGUAACUUUGGUAGAGAGAAUGUCUUCUCUGAGACAUGUAGUUGCUGGGUUGAAGAACAUUUCACGUUGGCUUCUUAGCCAGCUCUGUCACCUCCAUCUAUUCAUUGUUCAUAUUCAUUAAAAUAUACACCAUUCAGACAGACUUGAGACCUUUGUUAAAGAGAUCAAUAAAUGUCAGAAUCCUAAGUAACGUGAAAUGGCGCUGUAUCCCCCUGGCUGCAAGACGGGAAAUCCAAAGCAUGAAGUGGUGCAGAAGUUGCUACCAAUACACAAAGAGCCCCAACAUCCAAAUACCUUCCAUCCGAUUGGCUAGAUAGAUUUACAAAGGCAUUUGGGGCCCACUGACAGGAAGCUCAUGUCUUUGGGAUACACCUGCCCAGCAUUCCCAUUCGAGGCCCGUCGUCUGCACUGGGAUGACUGGAAAUCCUGUAUCCUCUCCUCUCCAUCAAAAACAGUCUGUCUCAAAUAAAGCUAACCAACAUCAGGUUCAUGUCCCGUGCUCUUCAAAUAAGUGGUAAGAUCUGUGGCUCUUCCCUGAGACAUCUGUCAUUAAGUCUCACCGUAACAAGAUCUGGAUUCCAGGAAAGGCUUCUUAAGGGUGAAAUUCCAAAGACUGUGACAGACUGCUGGAAAGAGCAUCCAUGUUGAGCAGAGGGUCAGAGGCAAUGCCUCAUUUGCAUAAUAGACUGAACCCUGCACAUCAUUUGCAUAAUAGGCCACACACUUACUAUUAGUUAAAAGAAAAAUUAUAUAGGAGUUCAAAGACCCCUGGUUGUCAGGUCUCCUGCACGGUAAUGCUAUAUUCGCGACCACUUAAGUCUCUAUCCCUCUGUCAUCCUUAAAAUGUGUGAGAACCAAAGAACCGUGACUUUCUGUUUCCAGAAGAGUUAGAGUAAACAGAAUCUUUCCAGACCAACCAAUGUUUGCUACUCAUCUUACUCCACCUCCUCAUGCCUUUGGGCAUCACUCCCAGGCCCCACAUUUGUACACCAAGCCUGCACAGAUCAUGAUCUAAAAGCAUGAUGGGAAAGCCACGGGGAACAGGCAGUUUUCUUGUUGAGUUGAAUCCUCUUGGUCCAAGGAGUAAACUGCAAGAGGUAGACAGUCUCUUUACCACACGAUUGCCGUCCUUACACAAUGGGAACGCAACAUGUCAAACAGGCAAAACUGUCACGCGUCCUUCACUAAGCCGCACCUUGGUCUCUGCUAAUAGCAUCUCACCUGCAUUGCAUUAGACUAUACAGAAACACCACUCCAAACACUGGAGUACAUUUCUUUGUCCCUUAAUAAUAAUAACAGUGUCAGGGAAACUCUUCAGUCAUAGUUUCCUUAUGUCCAGGUACAAUAUCAGAAAGGGAAAUGCAGCCCGACCUGAGAGCAUGAGGGAAAGCUGUGUGUUUAGUACAGAGGGAGAAUCCCACACUCACCGUCUCACAUCUAUACAUAACUGGCAAUGCACACGAUCAAAAUCGGAUGCACGAUGCAAGCAGAGGAUUGCUCAUAUAGCCUGAUAGAUCUAUACUGACUCAAGUAGAGACUCACCCAACCACUCUAUUCCCUUUAUAAUCCAUAAAAAGAGACCCCAGGCAGAAAUCUGGGGCCCUUAGUGUGUUCACUCAUGAGGGCUGCUGUCAUUCCUGACCGGGUCUUCCUUUCUGCUGCUUACUACUGCUUUGCUUAAAAGACAGUUUCUUCACACUUCGUAAUCUCUGUGGGCUUUUUCUCCCAUUCUUUAUUUUAUGUAUAUGAGUAGACUGCUGCUAUCUUUAGGCACACCAGAAGAGGGCAUCGGAUUCCAUUACAGAUGGUUGUGAGAUGGUUGUAUGGUUGCUGGGAAUUAAACUCAGGACCUCUGGAAGAGCAGUCAGUGUUCUUAACCACUGAGCCAUCUCUCCAGUUUUUCUCUCAUUCUUGAAUAAGAUGUCAAGAAACUGGAAAUACCUGACCAGACUUUGGUCAGCGGAGACAUCUCUCGUCCUUCCACACACGCCCCUAUUUAUUUUAUCUCAGUCUUUUCCCGUGUAUCACCACCACCUGCUCCUUUAAAACCUAUGAAAUUUGGUUUGCAGACUUUAUGUUUCAUGAAUGCAAAAGUUUAUCUCUAAUGUACAGGCUUGGGGAGAUGGCUCCAUGGGUAAAACACUUGCUGUGCAAGCUGAAGAGCUUGGGUUCAAAUCCCCCAGCACCCAUGUGAAACACAUCCUGGCAGCAUGUGUCUGUAAGCCCAGCACUGAGAAGGGAGAAAGGGAUGAUUCUGGGGGCAUACCCACUGGCCAGACUAGCUACAACAGUGAGAUCAUGUCUCAGACAGACAAACUCAGGGACUGAUGAAUAUAUACAUACAUACGUACGUACAUACAUACAUACAUACAUACAUACAUCAUACAUACAUACAUCAUACAUACAUACAUACAUCAUACAUACAUAUAUACAUACAUACAUCAUACAUACAUACAUACAUACAUCAUACAUACAUACAUACAUACAUACAUACAUACAUACAUACAUGGACGGACAGACAGACAGGAUAAAUGACAAAUGAAGACAAAUCGAUAUCAUCUCUGGCCUCUACACACGACUAAAUGGGCACUUGAGCACACAAGUCUAUGAACACACAAGGACACACACACAGAGACACAAUUACAAUUAACAGUUCUCUUUCCCCCAUAAUUUGUUGAACAGACACACAAUGUUUUCGUUGUUGUUACUACUUUCAUGAAAACCUUCUUGGCAGGAACUUACCAAGAGAAAACCAAAGUGGUAGGCCUUGACAGCUAAAACCAUUCCUGUUCUCAAGCCCCGGGCAGCUCCUCUGGCCUGGGACUCUCGGUUUCAUGACUGCUCUCAUGUGCACUUCCCAUUUGCCCUUCUCUGUCCUAACUCUGGGUUAACCAGUAUUGCUGAACAAUAAGAUUAUGACUCAAUACCGUUUUUAAAAAUAUUAAAAAUUCAUCUGUGACCAACAGAUUCGCUCCAUGUUUAUCUCUGCUUUUCCUAAGACCCCAGAUGAGUCUAGGACUUGGACUUUGCAUGGAUUUCACACCCUUGCCAAACCAAGUCCUUGGGUGAGGUGCAGAGAACCCUCUCCUGUUGUAGCCACAGCAAUGCCCAGCCCCGCCCAGGUCUGUACUGAGUCGGCAUGCAGUCCAGUCAAGGAGAUGAUGGAGGAUUUAGCAUUUCCUAUGGAGACUUGAAAACUUAGCUCCUGUGAACGUUAAAGCCUGCAGCAAAGCUAGGGACCAGAGGCCCAGGCAUCCCCUAGGACGCAGGUGACCUCGGUGCUACGUGAGACCGUCAAUGAACACAGCAUCAUGAGACCUGGGUAGGAUCCUUCAAGAUGCUACAGCAGAAAGGGAAGACUGAAAACAGAAAGAAAACAUCUGGAAGGGAGACACACAUGUCAGAAAGGCCAGCUUGGACCCUUGGCAUGGCGGCCCACCUGCAGCAGCUCUCCUGUCGGGUAGGAGUCCUCUCUUCAGUAGCCGAGCUCUCUAAGAGGUCCUGAGCGGAGGACGAGUUUUGUACCCUUUCUUCUAUCUCUUUUCUCUUCACUCUGUUGCUCGGUCUCUCACAAGCCAGUCCACAGAGGAGCCAAUCCACUGUCUGACUCUGAAUUAACCAGCCAUUGGCUGAGUGAUGUGGCAGCAGCUCAGAUGAGGAUCCUGAACCACAGGGCAAGGCUGCCCCGUGCUUUCUGUGAACCCCACAGUCACCUUGGCAGCCACAGUUAGAAUCCUACACUUGCAAGGAUCUGAUGAAGAAGGGAUAGAGAAAAGAGAUCCAGGCAGAAGCGGAGGAAGGAACGGGAAGGACACAGCUGCUUAGGAGCUCUGUCCUGCAGCCGCUGCACCUGAGUCCAAACCCUCACAGUUUCCUGUGGAUAUCUAAACACUCCUCAGCCUCAUCGACCGAAAGGAAGAUCCGAUGGUCUCCUCACAUGCUCGUUAAGAAGACUAAAUAUUGUGACACAGGAGGCACAUUACGCACAAAGCCUCGAGAAGAGGUAGCUGAGAAAGCCGAUUCAGGCCUUGUUCUCGGUUCCUUGUUUGUAAAUGCGACAUUCAUAAUGAGGGUCUCCACCCGUCUGGAACCUUCUGGAAGCCUGUGAGUGAGAAUCGAAGAGUAGAGCGUGGCAUGGGCAUUACAAGUGCAAUGUAAAAUAUUAUCCUGCAGAACAUUCGCCAUAGCGAAAGGAAGCGCCAGGCGCCGGGGCUCUGGUGAAGUGUGUGAGGUUUUGGUGUGGGAGUGCUGGGGCUGCUGCUGGGGAAGGGCGUGGUCAGCCACAGAAGCCACUGCCCACAAUGAUUUGCUUUGUUUUGCUGCUCCAGCCUCUGGGGAAGUUUCUGGUCAUCUAGGUAUUGAGUAUACAAUUGGGGCUUAUUUAAAACAAAUAAACAAACAAAAACUUCCAACACAUCUUAACUUUGAUCUUUGUUCUUAAAGUUAAAACUGAUAGUACCUUUAAUCUGUUUAGAAUAGUUUUUUAUAGAUUUUUCCGAAACAGCAUUAAAUCAAUUUCUCUCCAAAUGCAUCUACACAGAGAGCAAGGCAUGAUACCUAGACGACACACCGCUUUCUCCAGCCAAGUCUAAAGCAGUGGGUCCUGCAGCUUCUUUCCUUCCUUCCUGCUCACCCAGACUUCCGGUUCCCUAUGGAAAUGUAUGCCCCAAAGUGCAGCCAGGAAGCAGAAACCAAAGCAAACCCAAGAAACCAGGGUCAACAGGGCUUGGACAGCCAACGCGCCUGGAUGCGAUGACAGACGUUAUAGGAAGCUUGGUCAAAUUCUCUAACUACACUUCCUAGAAGGCCCUCUGGCCCCGCUGUCCCAUUGUCUGGCUGUACGGUCCUCUUCCCUUUCCAGGCAGAGUUCAAGCCACCAUCCUCCAAGCAACUUCUACUGAUGCUCUAGCCUCAGACUGAGGUGAGGAACUCCCUGCCGCGGGCCCUGGCUGGGGCAAGCAAAACAUCCUGUCAUGGCUCGUCCCCUACCCUCAGUCCACAGCUCAUUCCCUUGAGACUUCCAAGGUGCCUGAACACAUCUCUCAAAUCACCUUGCACUCGGCUCAGGAUAAGUAAGUAGCUAUAGCCUAAACAGAUACACAGCCAUUCUUGUAUUCACGCUGGUUGUCUUCUCAGAAGAUGCCAUGCGCCUAACCCAGUCAUAGGCCCAGUCGUGUAAGCCAUCUUCACUCGGGCAGACGUGGGACUCUAUGGGAACACUCAUCCAGGCAUAUAACUUUACUUAUAAUUAUGAGAAUACCCAGGCCAAAUCUGUAACGAACUCGAACCUGACUCUUUCUUAAUGGGCAUUCUUAGUCCACUGCCCAAAAGAAAAUGGAGGUACAGAACGGUUACGUGAUUUGCAUAAAGUCACCUAGUUAGCAAGCAACGAAGUCGGAUCUAGAAUCAGUUCCCUUUGUAUCCCCCAUGACUAGCCCAGAGAGCUUUCUAUAAAACCUAGACAAAUAGGGCACCCAGGUUAUAUCUGACUCCCCCAAAUCAGGAAUAGAUGUAUUAGAGAAAUGCAUCACAAAUUUAAACUGUAGAGAUGGGAUUCCAGCACUGCUCAGCAUCUGAAGCCACACGGUGGCAGGCAACAGAAGAUUCCAGAAUGCUUAAGCGUCUGGAAAACAAGAACCCUAAGUCGGGGCCCCUAAAGGAAUGGGCCGUGUCAUCACAACAUGAAAAAAUUCAAAGUACAUGUGCUGGAAUGUUAAACUGAAAACCAGUGAGCUGCCCUGAGAAGCAGAAGUCACAGAAGUGGGCAGAGCGAGCAGUGACUGAUGCCCACUGACAGGGCAAACUGGUUAGGAAAGUGGACAGUACUCCAGUGGGUAGCUCCAAGCACUUGCCCAAGGACCCGAAAGCCCUAAAACACAUCUGGGCUGAAAAUUAACACUUCAGCCUUAGACCCUAGAAGGUUCCUUUGGCUCGUUACAGGCACCUCUAAUUACUGCCCUGGAAAUACGCAAGGAGGACUAGACUCUGGCCCACUCCCCCAUUGCAUUUUUUAACAGGGAGGAUCUUCUACUGAGGAUCUCCAGAGCCAGAGAAACCACACAUGGAAGCCAUGUGGACUGAGAGCUCAGAGAGGGGAGACACUGCCUUGCAAACAUCUCCCACCAUCAGGAAAGAGACUAACUGCUUUCCACUGAGCACCACAAUGCAUACUGGGUCUUGAAGGAGACAAUCCUGAUGUGUCUUUGUUACAUACAUAAGGCAGGAUCAGAACUCUAAUUGGAAGUGGCCAAAUCUGUCCCCAGGGUCAGGAUGGUCAAACUCUAAGACUACUACCAGAUGGACCGUCUGCUUUCCUCUUCUCCCCCCAUCGCAAGGGAGAUUCACCAAGCCCCAGCUUCCCACCCAUGCUCAGCAUCCUCUUUCUGCCUUUGUUAAGAGUUAAGCAUCCUGUGUGAGUGGAGGGAUCCCUGAAAAAUUUCAAAGAUCUAUGAGGUUAAAACCAUUAUCCUAAGAGUUACAAUAGGCUUCUUUUUGUCUUUUUCACUUUCUGGAGACUCCAUGGGCUCCAAGGUAGAUGAUGGAUCAGAACAGUCUAAAUGCAGAAGGCAACUUAUACAUCUAUCCUCCUAUACAUCUGCCCUCCUAUUAAGUCAGAUGCUAGAGGGGUUUUCAAAAUACAAAACAGUGCAACGCUUCUAUAAACUUUUCUUGAAAAACAUAUAUAUGUUUCCUGAAAACACCGUUUACGUGAACAUCAAUGGGAUUAAUUUUAAUUAAUUUAAAAAUGUAUCCAUUUUCAUUUUGUGUGUAAAUAUUGGCAGCUAUCACCAACAAAAAAUAGACUCUCUGAAGCCUUCAACUCUGGAGCCUUCAAUAAUUUUGAAAUGUUGACAUUUAAAUAAUUUAAACUUCGGUCAUAAGACCUGGGAAUUUGAGAACCAUCAAUUCUUAAGGAUGAAAGACACUCACGUGCUGUCUGUCUCUUGAGAAGCUAAAUGCAAACCACCCACUGCUUUGUGUCUACCAUCGAGGGUCUGGUCCAAGUUCACUGCGAUUUCCUGAUGGCCUAGCUCUAACCUCGGAACAUUCUACCUUCUGAACCUGCUGACAGCCAUUUUUCUACCCCAGUUAGCAUGUCGUCGCACAGUGCCUGCGGUGUCUGUGACAUUCUCCACAUUAUCAGCUGGGUUACAUAACCUCUGAAGUUAUUUAACUUUUCCCUGAGGGUGUGUCUCGCUUCCCCAGGACAGUUCUGGACUUCGAAAAUGGAUCUGACUCUGAACAGCGGGCUGACCUUGGGCAAGUUACAGAGCCUCAGUUUCCUUGUGUCUAUAAAGGCAGGUCAGGUCAGGCCAGGCCAGGCCAGGCCAGGGCAGGGCAAGGCAGGCCAACUUCCCGAGAAACCUGUUCUUCCAAGACCACUCAGCUCAUGAUUUUUCUGGAAACUAAGUGUGGUGACAAUCUUGAGCAGUAAAUUUGGGGCUCCUGGCAUAAAGAUGACCAAUUUUCCUCCCAAUGGCACAGCCACUCGCGCCAGAAAUGACUAUAAUUCACCCCAGCAAUGAUGAGGGGCAUGAAUGAAUGAUGUGUGGAUCAGUAAAUUGUCUCGACAAAUGGAACACUGCGCCCCUAUGGGGACAGUUAGAGAUACAUGGGCAACUUGACUCCUGGCAUUGAAUGAACAGCAAACACUAGUAUUUAUGAACUAAAGAUGUAUGUCAAUGUUAGGGCACUUGCCUGGCAUUCACAAAACCUCAGUUCAAUCCUAGGUCUGCCAUGGGGGGGGGUGCUUAAAAGAAAGCAAGAAGAAAGACUUUAUUGAGACUCAGUGUGUAAGGACACAACUAAGAGACCAUGCAACCACAUACCUCAGAUGUUUUGUCAUCUUUAUGAUCUCAGUAUCUGGGUCCUUUUUCUUUUCUUAUCCAUAGAAAAGGGGAAAAAAAGCUUUCCAAUGCUGCUCCCCAAACCAUUAACAAGAGCAGUACCAGGUUCCCAAACCGCCAUGUGGCUCUUACACGGCAACAGGCUGAGACAACAAUGGCCUACUGCAUUUGACACAGCUCCCAAAGGGAUCAGAAAUGGCCACUUCCAGACUUCGGGACGUAUUCUUUUUCCCAGAUCGUCUUGAUACAUUUCUUUACACUCUCCAUCCUGUCUUUGUCUGUCUUUCUGUGAAGGUUGGAAGGAGGUAAAGGAUGCAGUUUCUGUGUGGACUCUAUGAUCCUGGGGAAAAGACCUAAGCUAACAAGCCCCAUGCGAGUUCACUAGAGGCAAUCUGGGCAUUUGAACUGUCUUUGGGGGAGAGGGGGAUCGCGGUUUUGUUUAAUCUAGUUUGUAAAAGGAUGGAGAAAAAUUUUGCAAGCUUGGUCUGUAUACCAUGUGCAUUUAACAUCUGCAGCCUGCAGCAUACAUGUGGCUCAAAAGAACCCUGAGCUAUUCCUUAGAACCCGACCCUACCUUUCAAGUGUGGCUUAUCACUUCCCCAUCUGUGACUGGGUAGAAGUGUGGCUCACCACUGCCUCCAUGAAAAUGAAUAAGCCCAAACCAGCCCCUUUCACAGUCCUUGAGACACCUUGGGGAUAUCUGCUAAAACGAAAUACCCAUUCAGACCUCUCCACUGAUAUCCUAUUAAACUUUAGAAUAAGACCUAUAGUUUGCCUUCUGGGAAUAAAACUGUAAAGUGAGCAUAAUGAAUUAGUGGCCAGAUAAUCGAAAUCAGCCACUUAUACUAGAUUUCAAUCAGAUUAAACACUUUAGUAUAAUAACAGUGAAGCUUGAGGCUAGGAUGGGGUUGGGGAGGUGAGGGCAAGACAAUCGAGGCAAGAAAGAAGAAAUUCCCAUGCAACCCAAUGACACUGUUCUAACUCUACCAGCAGGCCAGUGUAUCACAUGAUGAGGAUUCCCGAGGCUUGCUCUGCCUGUUGCUUGUUAAAUGGUUUCAAGAGGCGUUCCACAAGUUUUAGUAACACACACUAAAUACCAAUUCCGUAGAAGCCUUGUAAGUCACAUUAGCAUAUUAAAGGUCCUACUUAGUAAGUUUCAAAAUAAAGAAAUUGGUUUGACUUUAAACUUAAUGUUUGUAAACUCACUGGAGCCACCACAAAUGGUCCCUGGGACUUAACGUUUCUCAGAACUCUAUGAAAUCACUGAACUUAUCUUCCUAAGUCUGAUUCUGGCAUUAGAAUUAGGCUUUCUGUACAGCCUGCUUCCGAGGAUUAGUGAACGGAUUCUACAAUUCAGAUGUCCUAAUUUGAACUGAUAUGCUAACUUCAUAAAAUGACAGGCAAGCAUGUGGUGGCCAUUACCUCGUCCCUCUCAAAUGACUGGAGCCUCUCUCAUAUGCUAACCAACUGGACAGAGAAGUUUCAUCAGGGCUAGAAUUGAUUACUCAGUAAUCUAUAGAUGCUACUGUUCCAGCUAGGGGAGAGAUCUCCUGACAUCUCCUGGGUAGAGAACCAUGGAUGCUACUCAACAUGCGUCUGAGCACGGCACAGCCCUACAACAGUCAACCUGCCCAAAUAUCAGCUUUGCCGAGUCUGUCUGUAAACUUGGAAAACACAUCACGUCAGUCUACAAGCUUGACAGUCAAUCUUUGAAGACAGACUAAGACAAUGAAUGUUGCCUUCAGGUGAUUCUGAAAAAAACAGUCAUUGGUUUCCUCGGCUAGGGUAGAGGAGGUACACCUCUAUCUCUGCCUUUCUUGAAAUCCAAGGUAGGUCCCUGGGUCUGGGGCGUAAAUGCAUCCUCGGAGAAUGGACGGGGCCUGGUAUUCUGGACUGGGUCCCCUCUGUCCAGCCUCUCCCCACAGUUAGCUACUACAUAAUGUCAUUCCUGAUGUUUGGUUCUCCUUUGUUUAACUGAUAGAUGAUGAGUUUGAGGAAGUGGCCAGGCCAGUGGGAAGUGGCAACCUCGGCUGCCUCCUUGACAUGGGAGUCCCCAAGCACAGCAGAAGCUGGGGUGUGGUCACCUCACAAGCCGUCUUCCCUAACUUCGGCGUCACUGUCCCCAUCUAAGAUACAAGCCUCCCUCAGGAUUUCCUUUUAAAGACAAGGAAGCCCGACAUAAGGGAUCCACGAUGUACCAUGGGCUUCAUGGACAUACGCUGAGUCUGGAAAUAUAUUCCAAGAUGAACUGAAUGGCAGCUUUCCUGAUGCCAACAAAACGCCCUGAAAUGCCAGUGCAUCUGUGCUCAGGCACAUUUGCCCAGUUGUAGGCAAGCAUGGGACAGAGAUGAACAACUGUCCUGUGAUUGGGAGGGAGAGGAUAAAACAUUGUUGUCUGAGAGUCACUCCCUCACUCCCAGGGCCAGCAAUCCCUGCCACUCAGUGUAAGACAGACCACUUACAGACCUGCACUCUGUGGGAAGAACCCAUGAGGGGCAGUAUUCUCCUCCUCCUUCCCAGCAGUCACGUGACGCUGGGGUGUGCCAGCCUGUCCCGAGACAAACACAGUCUCUCUGGGCAGGUCCAUUCCAGCCAGGCUGUCCCGAUGGCACCCGCACUGACCUUUGAAAGGGAGAGACAGUUCUUGCCAAGGAUUCUAGUAUUGCUGGCUGCCUUUCAACAGAAGGUAAAAGACAAGCAUGGAAAGUUGAGCAAGAAUUGAAGGAUUUCAUAGUCACUUCAGACAUUCAAAACUGCCACAGUGGCUUAAGACAGAGGUUCAGCUCAGGCCCAGUACUAGGAACACAAAAUAAAAAACCCCAGACCUCUGGAUACAGCUGGGAGGGAAUGCCCAGGGUGCUGGGGAUGAGAUUCGCCGUAGGAGUGCGGAAGACAGAAACAUCAGGCCUUACUGACACUGGUCCCAGCAUCCUUCCACACACAGGCCUUCCUUUCCCAACUCACCUCCUCUUCGUCCCCUAACCACUCAGGUUUUUCUGACAAGAUUCAACUCCAGAGAAUGUACUAGACUGUUUCUAUGGAAACUGUACUUGUAGAAAAACCCUAGAAGAGAAGCCAAGUUUGGGGGUGGGGUGGGGCACGCCGGAGCUUUUUCAGAAGACAAUGAAGAGCCAUGAUACAGGAAAGGGAAACUGGAGAGAUGUCACCGAAGAGGAGGAGCCAAGAUCCACAGGAGAGAAAACAGCAUGUCACUGAAGACUGAGUCCCCAGAGAUCCCAAAAGUUAGUGAGCAAUAUGACUCAGGUCCGGCGGCACCUACCAGGGGUGUCAAGACAUCAGAAGGGAAGGGAAAAAGAGGUGUUCUCCCAACUAGAGUCUAUUUCUGGCCCAGUGACAAAACCAACCAAACGAAGAUAACCCAAAGUGACAAGCCAAACACGAGGUGGUAACCUAGAGCAAAUGACACCCAAGUCCACAGGAGAGCAAGGGCGCUUAUGGAGCAUUGUGAGGCUCUGUGUUCCAGUCCCAGGACUGCAAAAGAUAUAAUAAAGCAAUGAGGCAACAAUAAUAACAGUGUACAUUGCUAAGGGAGUUGUCUGCUCAGCUGGCACUUGGAAUUGUCACUUGUUGCCAGCUCUGUGAGGCUCAGCCUCAUUCUGUAGCAGAAAAAAAAAAAAAAAAAUUCCUGAUUGCUUAGGAGCAAAGGCCAGAGGGACCUGAGUUACAGGUGUGGGAGUCUAGAAACUGAGAGGCGAAGGAUCAGUGGUUAUCUGUUGACCCAAAUGCCCACACCUCCAGCCACGCGUCCACUGCCAUGUUCACAUGGAAAAGACACUGACACUUGGGGCAGGGACUAUUGCUUCAGGCACACCUUGGUGCUGUUCACACAAAUUCGAUUCCAAGAAUGCCAGAGAGAUUCCACGAGGGGCCUGACAGGCUCAUGAUCCACUGUCCCUAUGCCUGGAAGGUAUUCAUUGAGAGCAAGCUGGAGCCUUGUAUUUUCACAUGGUUCUUGCCCUUCCACAUACAGGACGGAGCUUCUGGAGCCAAGAAAGCCUUUUUUUACUGGGCCACAACCACGUAGGGGAGGGAGAGAUGAGGACGUUAGUGUAUGUUUCCAUAACUAAGGGUAUAGGUUCUUUCCCACCUCAGGACCUUUGCACAUGCCAUUGUGCUUGAACACCGACCACCCCCAAGUCCUCCUGCUUCCUCAGGUCACUGUGCCUUCCCGAGGGCCCUCCCUAACCAAGCUGCCAAAAACCAUGCCUCCUGUUUGCACUUGGAUUUUAGCCCCUCUAUUCCCUUCAGGGCUCUUUAUACAGGGACCAUGGCUGCCAGCCACUUAGCAUAGUGUUUGGGAACACUGACUUUUAGUGAAGAAAUAUUCAAUUAUUGAAGUAAAUGUUCCACUUGCUCAUGAAAUAAUGAUGGUAGUAAAUGUAUUCCUCUACUUCUUCCUUGGCAAUAGAAGAAGAAUUCAGGGGUUAACCCCCACCCCUUUUCUCAAUCUGGAAAUACAGGGACAGUAAGAAACAUUUUACAAGAAAUAAGUUUACAAACCACGCUGUACAGAAUUAAAGUCCUUUUGUGUAAACAAAGAUUCCUCUGUUAAACCCACAGACCUGCUUCCUAGACAGGUGCUGGUGAAUGGGGUUGGCAAGCCUAUGCCCAGCUUCGUGUCUCCUUUGCCGUCAGGAGACUUCCCUUUGCUGGCCUGCCAAGCUCUUCUUCAUGGAAGUUUUCAUCUUUUGAUCUAUAAAUAUUCAUGAGUUCCUUUUUUUUAAAAAAAAUGAAAACUCAUUGAGCUUUCAGGAACACGUCUGCGCUGCAGCACUGGUCUGCUCUCGGGCUGCAGUUUUCUGCAGCAAGAUCACCUGUUUGCACUGGCUGGCGCUCCGUGAGCCUAAAGCCCAAUCAGGCACACAGGAGGAGAACACACCGCCCUGAGCUAACAAGACACAGGAGCCUGUACAGCUGCCCAUCACUCAGCACCAGGCAUUUCCUACCUAUGCCAGGCAUGGGAAAGAUUUGCUCUUAGCCUCCCUUGGGUUUCUACUCUCCUUACUCAUCUAAGGACGAGAUGUGCAAAAACAAUGGCACCCUCUGGGCAUCUGGAAAUCCGUCCCAAACCUUCUCACAUCCAUGUUUGUGUCAGUCUUCCAAGACGUUGGUGGAGAGGGUAACUCUAGAUCAAUGGGAAAGAUGAGGCGUGUAUGAGAGAGAAUGCUACAAGCCAGCCACUAUGCAGGCUAUGGAUGCAUAACAAAAGUGGGAGGGCUUUGAGAUCACGACAGGAUGGCAGGCAAGGCGACAGUGAUGCCAUCAGCACGAGUCCCCAUCCAUUCAAAACCUUUGAUCAUCAACCAUACCCCAAAUGUACUUCCAGGCUCAGCAAAGGAGACACAUGGAGGGAUACAAAGAUAAAUGAAAAAAGACCCCUGCCCAUCAAGCAAAGACAAGUACCCUGGCGACGCUGAAAACCUCCCCACAAAUGAGGACCCUACCACAAAUACAGAGUCAAGCAGAUGAAGCAAAGAGAGGACACCCAGCACUGUGCAAGAGCAGAGCUGGCUUUGAACUAGACACAGUAGAAGCAGAAAGCAUGUCCAAGCAGAGGAACACAUCCAGGCCCUGGGGUUGGGGGUUGGUGGUAACAGGUCAUGAACAAAUGCAAACUAGCAAGAAUGGCCAGAAUGCUGGGCCAUGGGCCCCAUGGGCCCUGCUAAGGAGUCUUUCCUGGGAGCUACCUAUAAGUCAGGCUCCUGAGGGAGCGUCUUUAACAGGAGGUCUCAAGGGGAGAUGGCUCAGUUGGUAAUGUGCUUCUGUGCAAGUGUGAAGACUCUCGCAGAUCCUCAGCACAGCAGUGUGUCUCUCUUAAUCCUACACUGGAGAGGCAGAGGCAGGAGGAUUCCAAUGGUCUGCUUGCCAGCUGGCCUAGCUAAUAAGGGGACUUCAAAUUCAGUGAGAGACGCUGGCCCAAAUAUUAAGGUAGAACACGUGGUAAUCUCAAUGAGAGUGGCCCCAUAGACUCAUAUACUUGAAAGCUUUGGUCUCCAUUUGGUGGAACUGUUUGGGAAGGAUUAGUAGGUGUGGCCUUGUUGAAGGAGGUGUGUGUGACUGGGGUUGGUCUUUGAGGUUUCAAAAGCUCAAGCCACUUGGCUGCCUCUGCUUUUAGACCAAAUGUAAGCUCUCAGCUACUGCUCUAGCACCAAGCCUGCCUGCCUGCCUGCCUGCCUGCCUGCCUGCCUGCCUGCCUGCCUGCCUGCCUGCCACCAAGGUCUAAAUUCCCAACCAUGGUGCUCAUGGACUUGGCUCUCUGCAGCUGUGGGCACUGACACAGAAUGCUUCUGGUAUAAUUUACCUUGGUCACGGUGGUGUUUGGUCACAGCAUUUUUUAAAAGGUAAUUGAGACAGUGAGAGAGACAGACACCCGAUACUCACCUCUGGCCUACACACGCGCACAUAAAUAGAUAGGUAGAUAGAUAGAUAGAUAGAUAGAUGGAUAGAUAGAUAGAUAGAUAGAUAGAUAGAUAGAUAGAUAGAUAGAUACAGUGAUUCAUAAUAUUAUCCAGGCACUGGGAAAUACAGACAGCGCUACCCUACAGGAUACAAAGGCUUGUAUGAAGAUAUCAUUAUCCAAAUAUGUAACAUGGAUUUAAACUAGAAAUGUCCCCAUUCUUUCAUUUUCAUCUACCCAGUGAAAUAAGUGGGUUUUUUUGGUUUUGGUUUUGGGUUUGGGAUUGGGUUUGGGAUUGGGUUUUUUUUUUGGGGGGGGGUGGAGUUUUGUUGUUGUUGUUGUUGUUGUUGUUUUUUGUUUGUUUUUUUGGUUUUUUGGGGUUUUUUUGCAGCUGUUAUAAAGUUGCUGCUGAUGGAAUGACGAUAGAAAUGAGAGCCUGUAGGCACUGAUCACAUACAUGUUUUCUUAAGUACUUAGGGCUAGACAAAUGCUGAUUUAUUUAAAUCUCACGGUGAGCCUAUAUUAUAAAGACUUUGAGUUUAUUCACUUCCUGUAGGAGACGGAGACACAGAGAUGUUAGGAAACCUACCCCAGGUCACACAGGAGUAAGUAGCACAGCUGGGCUUCGCAGUCAGUAAGUCUGGCCUGAGUCCCUGAUUUUGGACACUAAGUCCUCAGCCCCUUGCCUGCACUGUGACCAGCACUGUGGAAACUUGCCUACAGCUGUUUGUGGCUUUGAUUCUCACAGUAGUUCCUCAAGUCGGAUACUCCUUUCAUUUUUUUUAAAUCUCUGUUUUAUAGAUGAGGAAGCGGACAGAGCAGAUGGGGAUCCUGCCCAGAGCUGCACAACUAAUAAGUGGGUGGAAGGCUAAUUGGCCUGUGUGGCUGCAGAAUGUGUGCCCCUGCCUGCUGUCCCCACUCUUUUUUAUUCCUGGAAACCACGAGCGAGACGAAAGCAUGGAGGAAGCUUGGUAAAAGGGCUAUCGGGCAGGAUGAUCUUCCGAGUCUCACUUCUCCACCUGACGUGAAGCAGACGGAAACCAACCGUUCCCCCAAGCCAGCCCCGGGCAUGUGUCUCGUGGGCUGUGCAACCCCUGGUCACUGGCAGGUGAGGUUCUGCAGGCCUCGGAACUGGAGGGGAAGCAGGGCUGGCUCAGUCAGGCCCUGAUCUUCCGAUAGGUCCUGGCAAGCAUGAGGUACCAGUCAGCACUGCUGUAAAUCCUCCCGACAGCAGCUCUGUGGGCUCGGGCAGACUCUGGGCCAUGCUGGAGCCACACUGUCCAGAGCCUUCUGUUGCCACUUCUUGCGCCUAGGAGUGUUGGCACAGAGCCUGGCAGUGGGGUCAUUAAUCUAUGGGCAGGCUUCUAACAGAGGAAAACAUGGGAAACGGCUUUUAAAAGAAUCACCAGGGCUCAGCUGGCACAGACCAUCUAGAGCUGCGAUUCGGAAGCAAGAAAAGCCCACAUAUGCUAUGUGCUUCGGAUGAAGAGCUCUGAAGGAACCCAGACGAGAGGCUCUGUAUCCUUGUGGCCUAAGGUAUGGACAAUGAAGCCAAGCUUCCUAGGUUCAAAUCCCAGCUUGGCCUCUUGAUUGGAAGACUUGGGGCUUGUUCCGCCAGUCUCUUCAGGCUGUUUUCUCAUUUGCAUAUGAUAAUACAGACAGCAGCUACAUCAUCAAGUUGGUAUAGGGAACGGAGGGGUCAAUAUACAGAUAGAUUGCCCAGGAUCUCAGCAGUGCCCUGAAUGUGCUUAUUAAAUAAUAUAUGUAGGCUCAGUGGGCACAGGUACCAUCUCUUCUCACUGAAGGAUAUUAUUCCAAAAUAUUAUUCCAGUUAAUAAAUCUAGAAAUUGAUUGUGAGAUGUUUAUUAUUUCUUGUGGACAUUAUGUUCAUGUGUGUGUUCAUGUGUACAUAUGUGGGUUGACAUGUAGAGAUGCUCAUGUGCAUGUGUGUAUAUGUGUUCAUGUACACAGAUGUGGGUAGAUGUAUAAAGACAUUCAUGUACAUGUGUGUAUAUGUGUUCCUGUGUGCGUUCAUGUGUAGUACAUAUGUCGGUAGGCAUGAAGGUGCAUGCAUAGGAUGUCAGAGGCUGAUAUUGGAUAUAUCCAUCAAUCACUCUCCACCUUAUUUUAAUUUUUAGAUUUAUUCAUUUUAUUUCAUGGGUAUGAAUGUUUUGCCUGUGUGUAUGUGCAGUACCAUAUGCCUGGUAUCCACAGAGGUUAGAGACAGCUGUCAGGUCCCCAGGAACUGGAGUUACAGGUCGUUGUGAGCCACACCAAGGGUGCUGGGAAUCAAACCCAGUUCCUCUGUAGGGGCAGAGUUCUCUAAACCACUGAGUCAUCUCUCCAGCUCCCGUCCUACUUUGUGAGACAGGGUCUCUCACCGAACAAGAGCUUGCCAGUUCAGCCAAGUUCAGGAAUCUUCCUCCCACACCCUCUCGGGGCUGGGAUCGCAAGCAUACGCCUAGCUUCGCAUGGCUGUUGAGAUUAAAUCCAGGUCCUUAGGCAUGCGUGGCGAGCACUUUACCAACAGAAGCACGUCCCUACUUUCAAGACGCUAUUUCCUUAAGAGAAUUUGGGUUUGAAAGUCGAUGACUUGGGGUCUCAGGAGAAUGGAAAAGCCCGUCAGGCACGUGGUAGGGCAACUAUCACAUGGUAGGGCAGCUAUCCUCAGCAAUCAGUCACGUGAUAGGGCAGUUAGCCUUGGCAAUCAGUCACGUGGUAGGGCAGUUAGCCUUGGUAAUCAGUCACGUGGUAGGGCAGUUAGCCUCGGCAAUCAGUCACGUGGUAGAGCAGCUAUCCUCCGCUGGUGGGGACGGUUAAUGCCGUAAGAGCCAAGAUAGCUAGAACUCUGGCAUGGUCCAACACAUCAGCUUUCUGGGUUUCACUUUAGAAGGCCUCUCGAGAGCAUCAGCCUGGUUAGAACAGCUGCUACCCUGACCUGGCAGGGACAACUGAGUGUGCUCGGACCGUCCACAGUCACCCAGUCCUGACCGGACCUGGAGGCCUCAGCACAGUUUCCUCUUUCAGAAAUGGGGGACCCAAGUCCUUCCCCCUUCUCGCAUACUUUCCAUACUCAAAAGGGACUCCGGGCAAGAGCACAAAGCCAGAAGAUACAGCUCAAAGAGAUCCAAACUCCACCCUAAUUGCACGGUCCUGGCUCAAGCCAGCUUCUCCGUUUCUGAGACUGUUACACUGGGGUGACAGAAUAUGCUCCUUCCAUCAUGGGAGAGGCUGGAGACCCAGAUUCAUCCCGCUCCGAGUUUGUCACCUUCAUCCCAUGGCCAAGACAGCUCCGAUGGCUGACGCAAGCCAACCAAAAGGGAAUGCUUGGCCAGGAAGAGACUGUGGAUGGGCUAAGAGGGUCCUUUCAUCCACAUUCCACUAGCCAUAAGUUAGCCAUGUGGUCAUACACUGGGCAUAAGUCAGGUCACGUGACUAUAAUGCCAGCAGUAAGGAGUCUGGACAGGGGGAGGAUGAGACAGUGACUUUGCGCCACACUAUUUGAUGGUCCUGGACUGGAGCCUCCAGAUAAGUCAGCAACUACCUCUGUCCAAGAAAAUAUCAAAGGGAGUGAGUCUCAGCCCUUCAUGUCCAGUAUCUGGUACGCAGAAAGGGUGGCGGGGAUGCUUUUUGGAAUACACUUUGAACUGGAUGCAGCCCUCUGCAGUGCCUGCCUCUUACAGUACUUGCCAACAAAUGAGGCCCACGGUGUGUGUUUGCUGACCUGGAGAAAGGACGCAAUUGUAACCUGUAGGUCAGUAGGCCUGACCACUGAUGUGGGAGGCUGGAGCUGGGCUGACUGGAGGAUCAGGCCUGGGAUUCUAGAUCUUCUCCCCAGCUUGGCAGCCAGGAACCAAGGAGAAGGGAGAGUCAGAGCCACCUUCCCAUCCCCACCGGCUCUCGGCUCUCACGUCAGAGGCAGCCGCUCAGCUCGCCUGUGUGGGAAGCAAGCAGGAGCUGUUUCCAUUUUCUUUCAUAUUCAUCACGAACUGUGGCCCACAGACAGGAGAAGCCACAGAAACAAUGUCCAUCCCCCCUCCAAUGAUCCUGGAAAACCGAGGCUAAGAGGGGGCUGGGAGCAGAGGGAGCACUUUUGACAUCUGUGGGCAGAGCUGGAGGAGUGGGGGGAGCAACUCUGACAUCUGUGAGCAGAGCUGGAGGAGUGGGGGGAGCACCUCUGACAUCUGUGGGCAGAGCUGGAGGGGUAGAGGGAGCACCUCUGACAUCUGUGAGCAGAGCUGGAGGAGCAAAGGGAGCAUCUAUGACAUCUGUGAGCAGAGCUGGAGGGGUAGAGGGAGCACCUCUGACAUCUGUGGGCAGAGCUGGAGGGGUGGAGGGAGCACCUCUGACAUCUGUGAGCAGAGCUGGAGGAGCAAAGGGAGCACCUAUGACAUCUGUGAGCAGAGCUGGAGGGGUGGAGGGAGCACCUCUGACAUCUGUGAGCAGAGCUAGAGGAGUGGGAGGAGCACCUCUGACAUCUGUGGGCAGAGCUGGAGGGGUGGAGGGAGCACCUAUGACAUCUGUGGGCAGAGUUGGAGGAGCAGAGGGAGCACCUACGACAUCUGUGAGCAGAGCUGGAGGGGUGGAGGGAGCACCUCUGACAUCUGUGGGCAGAGCUGGAGGAGUGAGCACCUCUGACAUCUGUGAGCAGACACAGCCUCCAUGAAAAGAGACUAGCAGUGAGGGAAGAGCAAAGGCCAAGACCUUGCUAUCCAUUCACUGUGUGACCUUGGGUCAGUGACACACUCUGCCUGCCACCAACUGCCCCCUCACCCCAUAUGUCAAAAGGAGAUAAUAAAAGCUGUUCUGAAGUUAGAA